rnacentral:rRNA from 1 species
GACGAACGCUGGCGGCGUGCUUAACACAUGCAAGUCGAACGGAAGGGCCUCUUUCGGGGGGUACUCGAGUGGCGAACGGGUGAGUAACACGUGAGUAACCUGCCCUUGACUUUGGGAUAACUUCAGGAAACUGGGGCUAAUACCGGAUAGGAGCUCCUGCUGCAUGGUGGGGGUUGGAAAGUUUCGGCGGUUGGGGAUGGACUCGCGGCUUAUCAGCUUGUUGGUGGGGUAGUGGCUUACCAAGGCUUUGACGGGUAGCCGGCCUGAGAGGGUGACCGGCAACAUGGCGAGUAGACGAGAGAGCAGGCUCGAGCGGGUGGAAUGAGUGGGGAAGAGUGCAAAAGAGUGGCAAGCCGGAGGCGACGACGCUGUGGGGGGGAAGAUGAGCGUGGGGUAGUAGACCGCGUUGGAGAAAGGAGAGGUUGGGUGGGACGGUAGGGAGCAAAGAAGCACCGGCUAAAGACGGGACAGCAGCGGGGGAAAUAGACGGAAGAACAAAUGUCAGACC